CCCCCCUCUCCCCCCCAUCCACGUAGUGUCCAGCGGUGCAGGUGCAGUCACAGGUUCAUAGAGAAAACCAGUGAAAACCAGAAAUAAAGACAUGAGCGUACGCAGAUGCUCCUUAUGAAGUCCUUCAGUACAAAGAGGAUAGACAUACUCUCUUCCUUGCAACUUGGGCCCUCCUUCCCUGGAUCACUUAUGCUAUAGGCUAUAAUUGUAUACCAUUGGUGGUUCAUUGUUGGCUCAGGGAUUUCGCCCUCAGUCAUUGGUAGGGCUCUUACCUUUCCCUACAAAAAGUACUGGUUUCUACAAUAUAGGAUCCACUCAGUGGAUAUCUUCUAUAUAAGAUCCUUCUCCUGAUUGACCCGACAAGGAUGGAGAGGGACAGGGACAAGAUGGCGGAGAGAAUAAUAAAUCUCACCCUAGAGAUCCUCCUCCGGCUUACUG